AUACGUAGGUGGCAAGCGUUGUCCGGAAUUAUUGGGCGUAAAGCGCAUGUAGGCGGUUUGGUAAGUCGGUCGUGAAAAUGCGGUGCUUAACGCCGUAUGGCGAUUGAAACUGCUGAACUUGAGUGCAGGAGAGGAAAGGGGAACUCCCAGUGUAGCGGUGAAAUGCGUAGAUAUUGGGAAGAACGCCGGUGGCGAAGGCGCCUUUCUGGACGGUGUCUGACGCUCAGAUGCGAAAGCCAGGGUAGCGAACGGGAUUAGAUACCCCGGUAGUCCUGGCCGUAAACGAUGGGUACUAGGUGUGGGAGGUAUCGACUCCUUCCGUGCCGGAGUUAACGCAAUAAGUACCCCGCCUGGGGAGUACGGCCGCAAGGCUUAAACUCAAAGGAAUUGACGGGG
rnacentral:rRNA from 1 species